ACAGGGAGGUGACAUUGCUGUCCCCACAGCGUCCCCGCUGUCCCCGCUGUGGGAGCUGCUGGCCUGGCGCGUCCCCGCGCGCUCGGCGCUGGCCCUGCUGCUGGCCCUGCUGGCCCUGGGCUCGCUGUCGCGCUUCAGCGCCGUCUCGGUGCUGGCACACGGGGCGCUGGCCGUGCUGGCUGUCACCGUCCCCCUGCGCCUGCGCCAGCUGUGCCUCAGGGCGCUGGGGACCCCCCCGGCCGGGGACAGCCCCCCCAGGGCAGAGCCCCUGAGCGCGGAGCAGCAGCAGCGCUGGGCGCGGUGCCUGGCCCGGCACGCCGCCGCCGCCGCGCGCAGCCUCGCCCGCCUCUUCCUCGUGCACAGCGUCCCCGAGUCCCUCAAGUUCGCCUUCCUGUUCUACCUGCUGACCUACGUGGGGGCCGCGUGCAACGGAGUGACGCUGCUGGCAGCGGGUACCAGGGGACAUGGGGACA